UACGUAGGGGGCAAGCGUUAUCCGGAAUUACUGGGUGUAAAGGGAGCGUAGACGGUAAUGUAAGUCUGGAGUGAAAGGCGGGGGCCCAACCCCCGGACUGCUCUGGAAACUAUGUUACUAGAGUGCAGGAGAGGUAAGCGGAAUUCCUAGUGUAGCGGUGAAAUGCGUAGAUAUUAGGAGGAACACUAGUGGCGAAGGCGGCUUACUGGACAGUAACUGACGUUGAGGCUCGAAAGCGUGGGGAGCAAACAGG
rnacentral:rRNA from 1 species